rnacentral:rRNA from 1 species
UACGUAGGGUGCAAGCGUUGUCCGGAAUUAUUGGGCGUAAAGCGCGCGCAGGCGGUCCUUUAAGUCUGAUGUGAAAGCCCACGGCUCAACCGUGGAGGGUCAUUGGAAACUGGGGGGCUUGAGUGCAGAAGAGGAGAGUGGAAUUCCACGUGUAGCGGUGAAAUGCGUAGAGAUGUGGAGGAACACCAGUGGCGAAGGCGACUCUCUGGUCUGUAACUGACGCUGAGGCGCGAAAGCGUGGGGAGCAAACAGG